AUAAUGGGUCAGCGACUUAUAUUCUGUAGCAAGGUUAACCGAAUAGGGGAGCCGAAGGGAAACCGAGUCUUAACUGGGCGUUAAGUUGCAGGGUAUAGACCCGAAACCCGGUGAUCUAGCCAUGGGCAGGUUGAAGGUUGGGUAACACUAACUGGAGGACCGAACCGACUAAUGUUGAAAAAUUAGCGGAUGACUUGUGGCUGGGGGUGAAAGGCCAAUCAAACCGGGAGAUAGCUGGUUCUCCCCGAAAGCUAUUUAGGUAGCGCCUCGUGAAUUCAUCUCCGGGGGUAGAGCACUGUUUCGGCAAGGGGGUCAUCCCGACUUACCAACCCGAUGCAAACUGCGAAUACCGGAGAAUGUUAUCACGGGAGACACACGGCGGGUGCUAACGUCCGUCGUGAAGAGGGAAACAACCCAGACCGCCAGCUAAGGUCCCAAAGUCAUGGUUAAGUGGGAAACGAUGUGGGAAGGCCCAGACAGCCAGGAUGUUGGCUUAGAAGCAGCCAUCAUUUAAAGAAAGCGUAAUAGCUCACUGGUCGAGUCGGCCUGCGCGGAAGAUGUAACGGGGCUAAACCAUGCACCGAAGCUGCGGCAGCGACGCUUAUGCGUUGUUGGGUAGGGGAGCGUUCUGUAAGCCUGUGAAGGUGUGCUGUGAGGCAUGCUGGAGGUAUCAGAAGUGCGAAUGCUGACAUAAGUAACGAUAAAGCGGGUGAAAAGCCCGCUCGCCGGAAGACCAAGGGUUCCUGUCCAACGUUAAUCGGGGCAGGGUGAGUCGACCCCUA
rnacentral:rRNA from 1 species